rnacentral:rRNA from 1 species
AGAGUUUGAUCAUGGCUCAGGACGAACGCUGGCGGCGCGCCUAAAACAUGCAAGUCGAACGAGAAGCCCGGGCUUGCCCGGGUGGACAGUGGCGAACGGGUGAGUAACACGUGAGGAACCUGCCCCGAAGACCGGGACAACACCGGGAAACCGGUGCUAAUACCGGAUACCUUCACCGGAUCGCAUGGUCUGGUGAAGAAAUGGAUUCCGCUUCGGGAUGGCCUCGCGGCCUAUCAGCUAAUUGGUGAGGUAACGGCUCACCAAGGCGACGACGGGUAGCUGGUCUGAGAGGAUGUCCAGCCACACUGGGACUGAGACACGGCCCAGACUCCUACGGGAGGCAGCAGUUAGGAAUCUUGCGCAAUGGACGAAAGUCUGACGCAGCGACGCCGCGUGCGGGAUGAAGGCCUUCGGGUUGUAAACCGCUUUCAGCAGGGACGAAAUUGACGGUACCUGCAGAAGAAGCCCCGGCCAACUACGUGCCAGCAGCCGCGGUA